UGAGUUUAGGGUUACUUUAAUUAACUCUGUAUUUGUGUGAAAUUGAUUUAUAGAUUGAUCAAUUAGUGAUGGGUUUUCUUUUAAUUAAAUUUUUUGAUGAUGUAUAUGGUUUAAUUUCAUUUUCUAUAAUGAAUCAAUUGGGAAUUAGGGUUCAUCCCAAAUUAGUUGUAGUUGUACUUGUAGCUAGGGAUGUGUUGCAUGACAGGGAUGUAUUUGAAGAUGUUGUUGAGCCAUGAUUUUUUUGAAGUAAAGAUGUAUGUUUAGGUGUUGACCCCGGGUACCAUUUUCAUUGAAACCCUUGAAUGAUUUCUUUCUGUUUAUUAGUAUAACUGAUUCGAUUUCUUAUUUUCUUGAAUGUUUGAUUUUGAUUCCGGGAGUCUGAUAUUUUACGAGUAGACAAGGAAGUAGUCUAGCAUACCUGGGUAUAAAGUGUUUGUUCAUAUGCCUCAAUGGUGUUGGAAGAGAGCUCGUAAGAGGAAGAAAAGCUAGUGUUUAUACAAGUCAAUCUAUGAAAAUCUGAUCUUUUGCUUUGAAGGAUAAUUAAGAUUUCGGACCACCAAGAUAUUAGAGAUCAUCUUAUUACAACUGAUUGCAUACAUGGAAAGGUGUGCAACAUGAUUUAACAGUCAACUUCUUUCCUUUGCACGAACAACAACAUAGGACGGGCUACGUUAUUUUGUUUGACGAAAAUGCUGAAUUUGUGCUUGCUAAGUCAUGCCUAAGUUAAUAUUUUUAUGGUAUCAUCGACGACAAUGUAUCUCAUAAUCGAAAUUUGGUCUAUCAAGAAGAGGAUGUUCCAUUUAGUAAUGAAAUCCAGUCAAUCGCACUGGAAUGUGUACGUUACUGCUACAUUUUUAAGGGAAAUGUAUUUAUGAAAUAUAUCAUUUUGUGGUAUAAUUGAUAACUUUGUAAAAAGAUAUUUUUAUUUGGUUGUAUUGAUUUAUAUAUAAACCUUGAUGUU